AUUGAACGCUGGCGGCAUGCCUAACACAUGCAAGUCGAACGGCAGCACAAUAAAGAUUUCGGUCUUUAUGGGUGGCGAGUGGCGGACGGGUGAGUAACGCGUAGGAAUCUGUCCUGGAGAGUGGGAUAACGCGAGGAAACUCGGGAUAAUACUGCAUGACAUUGAGAGAUCAAAAGCAGGGGACCGAAAGGCCUUGCGCUGUGGGGUGAGGCUCCGUUGGGCUAGCGAGUUGGUGGGGUAAAGGCCCACCAAGGCGACGAUCCGUAGCUGGUCUGAGAGGAUGACCAGCCACACUGGGACUUAGACACGGCCCAGACUCCUACGGGAGGCAGCAGUGGGGAAUCUUGGACAAUGGGGGAAACCCUGAUCCAGCGAUGCCGCGUGUGUGAAGAAGGCCUUCGGGUUGUAAAGCACUUUAGGUGGGGAAGAAAGGUAGCGAGUGAACAACUUUCUGCUGUGACGGUACCCACAGAAUAAGCACCGGCUAACUCUGUGCCAGCCGCCGCCGUAA
rnacentral:rRNA from 1 species